CGGGGCGGAGCACUAGCAGCGCGCAAGCGCGGACUCCCUAGAACCGGAAGUAACGUCGUCCGGGCAUGGCGGCGGCUGCGGAGGGCGUCCCGGCGACGCGACGCGAGGAGCCUGCUCGAGAUGAUGCCGCAGUGGAGACAGCUGAAGAAGCUAAGGAACCCGCGGAGGCUGACAUCAAUGAGCUCUGCCGGGACAUGUUCUCCAAAAUGGCCACAUACUUGACCGGGGAACUGACAGCCACCAGUGAAGACUAUAAACUCCUGGAAAAUAUGAAUAAGCUAACAAGCUUGAAGUACCUUGAAAUGAAAGAUAUUGCUAUAAACAUUAGUAGAAACUUAAAGGACUUAAACCAGAAGUAUGCUGGACUACAGCCUUAUCUGGAUCAGAUCAAUGUAAUUGAGGAGCAAGUGGCAGCUCUUGAGCAGGCGGCCUACAAGUUGGAUGCUUAUUCGAAAAAACUAGCCUUCCUUCCAGGAGGCGAAGCUACCGGGACAGCUUGGGUCCCUCCGCGCUCUCCGUACUGGGUGGCUCCUCAUUGGUUGGAUGCGCAGCCCGCCUGGCGUUCUUCCGGGACCGCACGUUCGGUGUGGGUUCAGAGCCGAGGAGGGCUGACGGGGUCGAGCCCUUGGCAGCGAUGGCCCUGAAGCCGCUGCGCGUGUGAGUGACCCUUGGCUUGUGGAGAUGUUGAAGGGAAAUUUGAUACUUUAUUCAAUAGAGUUCGAGCAAUUCAGAAGAAAAGUGGAAACUUUGAUGAAAUUUCUUUGGCUCCACCCAAAAUGCUGAGUGGGAGGAAUAUAA